UGCAGUCGAGCGAUGAAGCACCUUCGGGUGUGAAUUAGCGGCGAACGGGUGAGGAACACGUGAGAAAUCUGCCUUCAACUCUGGGAUAACUCCGGGAAACCGGGGCUAAUACCGGAUAUGAGCCUUGAUCGCAUGAUCGGGGCUGGAAAGUUUUUCGGUUGAAGAUGACCUCGCGGCCUAUCAGCUUGUUGGUGAGGUAAUGGCUCACCAAGGCGACGACGGGUAGCCGGCCUGAGAGGGCGACCGGCCACACUGGGACUGAGACACGGCCCAGACUCCUACGGGAGGCAGCAGUGGGGAAUAUUGGGCAAUGGAGGAAACUCUGACCCAGCGACGCCGCGUGAGGGAUGAAGGCCUUCGGGUUGUAAACCUCUUUCAGUAGGGAAGAAGCGAAAGUGACGGUACCUACAGAAGAAGCACCGGCUAACUAUGUGCCAGCAGCCGCGGUAAUACAUAGGGUGCAAGCGUUGUCCGGAAUUAUUGGGCGUAAAGAGCUCGUAGGUGGUUCGAUACGUCGGAUGUGAAAAUCAGGGGCUCAACCCCUGACCUGCAUCCGAUACGGUCGAGCUAGAGUUUGGUAGGGGAGACUGGAAUUCCUGGUGUAGCGGUGGAAUGCGCAGAUAUCAGGAGGAACACCGAUGGCGAAGGCAGGUCUCUGGGCCAAUACUGACACUGAGGAGCGAAAGCGUGGGGAGCGAACAGGAUUAGAUACCCUGGUAGUCCACGCCGUAAACGGUGGGCGCUAGUUGUGCGAACCUUCCACGGUUUGUGCGACGCA
rnacentral:rRNA from 1 species